GGGGAGGGUGGACGUCUCUCCAAAGGCCGGCUGUGUCCUGAGCUCAGCAAUCACAUGGGGAGAACUUUUACAGACAGAAGGAGGGGCUACAUACAGACACAGCAUGGUCAGCCCUGGGAGUCACCUUGGUAGUCUGACCAGCAUCAUCUUGAUUGUUUUAAGUACAGUUAGCCUUCACUUCCAGGGCUGAUUUGUUCCCGUCUCCUUGAAGUCAGUUCUCAGAAUGUGGCAGCUUGUAUCAUGGCCACAGUCUGGUCAUCAUGUAAUUUCUUCCACCUGGUGGAGGUUUCAGUCUCUACAAGACAGCUCACAAGAAAUUAAAGAUGAAAGAGUGAGCAAUGAGUUGAGGAUUCUCUGAGAAGUAAAGCUUAAAGUCUUCUUCCCGUCACCCUGCACUUUGCAUACUGCCACAGCCACAGUGAAAUCCGGCUCUGAACCCACCGAGGAGCAUGUAGAUGGCGCUACCACAUUGGAGCGGAUCAGAAUGAAAGUCAAGAGAGGCAAGAAAGAUUUCUGGACGCCCGCUGCCCCUCUCCGGGUGGAUGGAGCAGACCCUAAGGCGAGGCUGGUGCGUGUGAGCCCGCUGUGGAGCACCGCUGCCUGGAGCACCGCCACUGCAGGCACUGCGGGCUUAGACCUCAGCUAUGGAGCACCUCAGCUGGCAGCACUUCAGCCGUGGAGCACUGUCGCCUGGAGCAUCACCACCUGGAGCACCCCCACCUGGAGCACCCCACUGAGGACCAUCGCUGCCUGGAGCACCACUGCUGUGAGCACUGCAGCCGUGGAGCACCGCCACCGUGGAGCACCGCAGCCAGCAGCAUCAGUGCAGGGAACGCAGCUGUCAGUUUUCAUGGAUUUUGCAAAUCAGCUGUUCAACAAAAGCAUGAUAUGAAAAUACAUAUAUAAACAUAGACU
ensembl:lncRNA